rnacentral:rRNA from 1 species
UACGAAGGGUGCAAGCGUUACUCGGAAUUACUGGGCGUAAAGCGUGCGUAGGUGGUUUGUUAAGUCUGAUGUGAAAGCCCUGGGCUCAACCUGGGAACGGCAUUGGAAACUGGCUUACUAGAGUGCGGUAGAGGGGUGUGGAAUUCCCGGUGUGGCAGUGAAAUGCGUAGAUAUCGGGAGGAACAUCUGUGGCGAAGGCGACACCCUGGACCAGCACUGACACUGAGGCACGAAAGCGUGGGGAGCAAACAGG